rnacentral:lncRNA from 10 species
GGAGGUCAGAAAAUGACGUGGUGUGCAUGCAAUGUCUCCUGUCCUGGGGAUUCCUGGGGUCACCCUGGAGCUGCCCCAGCUUUCCAAGCCCUGUCUGGUGGUAGGAGAGAAAUUGAGAGGGAUUCACAGUGAUUCUCCUCGAGGAAGGCUCUCCAUGAACCAGGGGAAAGGACUGAGCACGACCUCCUGCAGAGAGUCACCCUGCCUACAGCCAGCAGGAAGAUGGGGACCUACAAACACAAGAACCGAAUUGUGUCCACACCGUGAAUGCCCCGAGAGUGGAGUCUUCCCCAGCACCUCCAGAGAGGAGCCCAGCCUGGCUGGCAUCUGCUCUCAGCCAGUGAGGACCUAAGGAAAAAGCCCUACAGGAAUGCCCAGAGCUCUGUUCCACAGGAUGCACAGGAUUUGUUUCACAGCUGGGUUUGUGGUGAUUUAUUACACAGUGAUAAAAAACAGACACAAUGACAGAGAGCAAAUGGCCUGCAAAGACAGAUGUGUUUGCAACUCAGCCCUUGUAGAAAACAACCACAACAACAAGCCCUAAGUUAGGUUUCUCAGUCUUGGCAUUGUGGGCAUUUGGGGCCAGGCUGUUAGUUUUCUAUGGUGUGGAACAAAUUGCCACAAACUUAGUGGCUUAGAACAACACAUGUUUCUUAUCUCACAGUUUUUGUGGGUAGAAGCCUGGGGCACAACUUAGCUGGGUUCUCUACCUCAGGAUCCCAUGGUGUCAGCUGGGGCUGCAUUCUCAUCUGAAGGUCCAACUGGGACAGGGCCUGCUUUGCAUUCACUUAGCUUGUUGGUAGAAUUCAGGUCCUUGUGGUUGUAGCACUGAGGUCCUCACUUCCUGCAGGCCACCCAUAGUUCCCAGUCUUGUGGGCCCCUCAAAGGCAGUUCACACAUGGCUCUUGCUUCUUCAAGGCCAGCAGGAGACAGAGAGAGUGACUCCAGAAUAUUAUAUACUAUAAUAUAAUCCCAGGUGUGACAUCUACCACCUUUGCCAUAUUCUGUUGGUUAACACUUUCAAGGAGAGGGGACAACACAGAAGCACAGCCAACAGGAAGCAGAAAUCACUGUGGUUCACCUUAGGGUCUUUCUAACCCAGCCAGAUAAUGUUUGCUGUGGGGCUGUCCUGUGCACUUUAGGAUAUUUGUCAGCAUCCCUGAUCCCUACAGCAACUCUCAGUUACAACAAUCAAAAAUACCUGUAGAUAUUGCCAGAGGGGCAAAACUGCCCCCAGUUGAGGACCACUGCCCUAGAUCCAUCAUUUCAUUAGG